UUUCAGAGCUCGGUGCUAUAUUUGGUGGGAAGAUGGCUCUAGGGAAAAAGAGCCAGCCAGAUGUGUAUGCAGAUGGCCAAGGCAGGCAGUGCUGCACGUGCUAUGGAAAGAUUCACCCUGGGGUUAUCCGUCACAGGACACCAACUGUGGAAAUCCCAGAACCCACAGAUGGUGUGGAAGAACCUGCCCCAAAAAACAAGAGCUGAGAAGGACCGCAUUAUAAAAAGGGAAUAAUGGCAGUUAUGCUUCCACAAAGGAAAUUUGGGGCAUGCGAAAAAAAAAGAAAGAUCCUCAACAAGCAAAACUAAGCAACAACAGCAAAAAAACCACCCCCACCAAGAUGUAUUGUAAGUUACAAUAAAGCAGUAAUAUUAUUGGGGGGACAUUAAUAAAAAGGAAA